rnacentral:lncRNA from 1 species
AACUCCCGGUUCUCCUAAGAACACUCUUCCAAUAGGAGACACCUCUAGCAAUACCCAACGUACUCCUGAACUUCACACGCUUCCACUGCGCUACUCUGAUCCUUACUCUUCUUUUCUCUUCUCAUCUUCACUAACUGGCUUCUUCUCACUGCUAACCCAAACUAACUCUAACUCUCACAGGUAGUACCCGGAUUUCAGAUCUAUCUUGGAAAACAAACAGCUCCUACUAGCUGUCCC